GCUGGGCAUGGUUGCGCAUGCCUGUAAUCCCAGCUACUCGGGAGGCUGAGGCAGGAGAAUUGCUUGAACCCAGGAGGCAGAGGUUGCAGUGAGCCGAGAUCACGCCAUUGCACUCCAGCCUGGGCGACAGAGCAAGACUCUGUCUCAA
rnacentral:SRP_RNA from 2 species